GGAACCUUGAGACUGUGCCCCACCUACUGCACAUGACACAGUCAGUGAAGGACAGGGACAAGAUAGACAUUUUGUCACAAGUUAUCAGUGCCUUCAAUGUGCAAGUUGGCAACGAGAAACAAAGUUUCAGUCUGAAACGAUACUUCAGUGGAUAUUCCCUGCCACUGUUGUACGGAAGUUAACGAGCAGGUUGACAGAAAAACUUGGGGCUGAAGACAGGAAGGAUGAGAACAAGGUCGCCUAACCCAGAUGAAGACCAUCAUUAAGGCUUCGAUUUCUGUUUUGUCGAAGUGACUUUUCUAUAAAAUUGCCAGCUUGUGAACUUUGCUAACAACUGUCUGUACAGUUGUAUUCUUGGUCUGACAGGAUAAUUCACAGCGAUUUCAAUGACCACAACAUACUAGUCCACACAACACCAGACUUGCCAUCACAAACACACGUGUGCGGCCUGCUGGACUUUGGCGACUCAACAAAGUCUUUGUAUGUCUUUGAGGUUGCUAUGGACGAUUUCGGAAAAUUAUGCAUGCAGAUGACCUUCACCCCACAAAAACUCCAGACCACUUCCGGUGUUGAUGUCUACUGUUGAUGCACGUAGCGUUCUUCGACCAUGCCGGCUCUUAAAAAUAACAAUGAUGGUCAAUUUUGCUGUGUACCUCAAUGUACAGUUAAAGCCUACAAAUGUCCAACAUUAUCCUUUCAUGGAAUUCCGAAGGAUGAACAAAUGAAGAAGCUUUGGCUUGUAAGAAUUCGGAGACGAAGGGCCACUCUUUCGGAUCAGAAAUUGGACAAGGGUUUGUAGCAGGCUUUUUGUGCCAGAAGAUUUUUGCCCUUUGACCUUAAAAGUGUAACCGAGUGUUGCGUGGUGAUUGAGGGGAGUAGAACAGUGACCACAACAGUCCAGCAUUCAAACCAGAAAGGCAGGAGCCUGUCAGCAGUUACACAAUUCUUUUAAUGCCAAUACAUCUACAGUCACGGCUGCGUCGCUUGUCUCGCACCUUCUCU